rnacentral:lncRNA from 1 species
GAGGGAUCGGAGCAGUCCAAGUGUUGGGGUUUAUGGACUGAGAACUAAGUGACUAGAGGUAAACCUCAGGAAACCAAACCGAAGCGGGAUGGGAGAGAGGGCAGAAUUCCAGGCUCAGAGUCUGUACUUAGUUGAGAGUUCUCUAGUCUCAAACUCAGGUAGACUAAGCACCUUAUCGAGACAUUGCCCCGUUUCAAGCUCCCAGGCUAUAAAAUGUAUUCGUCUGCUUUACAAAAUGCCCCGUGAACUCACUAAGAAAUGCAGAGCAGAUGCUGAUCUCUGAAUUAGUCCCUGAUGAUGCGCUAAUGGAGAAGGGGAGAAAAGGGCCCUUCUUAAGUAGAAAGAGGCACUUUACCCGCACCUCUUACAUUAUAGAAGGACUUUAAUGCAUUGGUCUCUCGAAUACUGAGAAUUUUAAUGAAAUAAAUUCCCAAACUUCUAAGCCGCCAAGAGCACAGGCCACGCACGCACCCUGUUUUCCACACCGAUCUUGCUCAUUUAACCCCAUCUUGUUGCAUCCACACUCCUUACUACUUGGUCACCAGCCUUUGUUCCCUGGAGACUGUAGCACCUGGUCCUCCGUUCUUCAGGGUGUACACUGACAGCCUUAUCUUCAAUGUCAGUCUCCUCCGCUCUGCUUUGAACUCUCUGUCUCAUAUGGAUCCGGGAGGGACCCACCAUCUCUAGAAAGAAUCCAAAUUAAAAUAAAACCCAAGAGUGUUCCCUUACUGACCUCUGUCCCCGAUCCACACCGCACACUUUACAAAACCAUUGCAAACUCUCCCAAGGACAUCAGCUUGAUACAGUUACCAGCCCAGGGAAACCAGAGCCUAAAGACUGUGGUCAUGACAUAAGCUAAGAUAGUCCCAGCAUCAUCAAAAGACUAAGGGCAGAGUCAGCAGCAUGGGAACUCUUGGGGUGUCAGGAAGGAAGGCCAAGUUCACAGUGGAGACUGACCACCACAUGUGAGUUUAUUUUGCCUCACCAGUUCAGGUCACAGUUCACGGUGGCCCCAUGGUGUCCACAGUCAGGAAGCAAAGAGAGAUGGAUGCUUGUGCUCAACCCAACCUCUCCUUUUUAUCCAGCCUUGGAUCACAGCCCACUUCAUGAUGGAGCAACACUGGGUCAUCACCCAAGUGCCAGGCACAUGCAGCCACCCAGUUUUGGACUUUCAGCUUCUAGGACUGUAUCCCAUGUAAGCCUCUUUAUAAAUUAUCCAGCCUCAAGUGCUCUGUUAUAGCAACAGUAACCAACUAAGACCCCAUAACUCCAGCAACUAAUACUUAAUGAAUAAUUGCUGACUUAAUCUCUCAUCACUUGUAUUCUAUAAAGUUCUUUGUACAAUCAUUCCUUAUGGCAGAAUUAUCUUCUUCCACAUUUGUGCUCCCACCAUACUUUGGGGAAAGUGGUGUAUAGUAAGUAUUAAACUUACUCAUUUACAAUGCAGC